CAGCCGCGGAAUUCCAGCUCCAAUAGCGUAUAUUAAAGUUGUUGCAGUUAAAAAGCUCGUAGUUGAAUUUUGGGAUCAAUAUGUUGGUCGUGCCUUUGGUACGUACUAGCUUAUUGAUUUCUCCCUUCUGACGAACCAUGCUGUCAUUAAUUUGGUGUCAUGGGGAAUCAGGACUGUUACUUUGAAAAAAUUAGAGUGUUUAAAGCAGGCUUACGCUUGAAUAUAUUAGCAUGGAAUAAUGAAAUAGGACGUUUUGAUUCUAUUUUGUUGGUUUCUAGGAUCGACGUAAUGAUUAAUAGGGAUAGUUGGGGGCAUUAGUAUUCAAUUGUCAGAGGUGAAAUUCUUGGAUUUAUUGAAGACUAACUACUGCGAAAGCAUUUGCCAAGGAUGUUUUCAUUAAUCAAGAACGAAAGUUAGGGGAUCGAAGACGAUCAGAUACCGUCGUAGUCUUAACCAUAAACUAUGCCGACUAGGGAUCGGAUGAUGUUAAUUUUUUAAUGACUCAUUCGGCGCCUUACG
rnacentral:misc_RNA from 1 species